rnacentral:rRNA from 2 species
UUCCGGUUGAUCCUGCCGGACCUGACUGCUAUCGGAUUGAUACUAAGCCAUGCUAGUCUUUGUAGUAAUACAAGGCAUACGGCUCAGUAACGCGUAGUCAACCUACCCUAUGGACGGGGAUAAUCUCGGGAAACUGAGCAUAAUACCCGGCAGACCACUUAUCCUGGAAUGGUUAGUGGUUAAAAUGAUUCGUCGCCAUAGGAUGGGACUGCGGCCUAUCAGCUUGUUGGUGAGGUAAUGGCCCACCAAGGCGAUUACAGGUACGGGCUCUGAGAGGAGAGGCCCGGAGAUGGGUACUGAGACAAGGACCCAGGCCCUAUGGGGCGCAGCAGGCGAGAAAACUUUGCAAUGUGCGAAAGCACGACAAGGUUAAUCCGAGUGAUUUCUGCUAAAGGAAUCUUUUGUUAGUUCUAAAAAUACUAGUGAAUAAGGGGUGGGCAAGUUCUGGUGUCAGCCGCCGCGGUAAAACCAGCACCUCAAGUGGUCAGGAGGAUUAUUGGGCCUAAAGCAUCCGUAGCCUGUUCUAUAAGUUUGCGGUUAAAUCUAUACGCUCAACGUAUAGGCUGCCGUAAAUACUGUAGAACUAGGGAGUGGGAGAGGUAGACGGUACUCGAUAGGAAGGGGUAAAAUCCUUUGAUCUAUUGAUGACCACCUGUGGCGAAGGCGGUCUACCAGAACACGUUCGACGGUGAGGGAUGAAAGCUGGGGGAGCAAACCGGAUUAGAUACCCGGGUAGUCCCAGCUGUAAACGAUGCAGACUCGAUGAUGCAAUGGCAUAGAGCUAUUGCAGUAUCGCAGGGAAGCCGUUAAGUUUGCCGCCUGGGAAGUACGUACGCAAGUAUGAAACUUAAAGGAAUUGGCGGGGGAGCACCACAAGGGGUGAAGCCUGCGGUUCAAUUGGAUUCAACGCCGGG